UAGGAUGUAUUUCGGUGGAAAGCAUUUUCAAUUACGAGCAACAUCCCUCUGUUGAAAUAAACGGGGAUCCCGGACAUUGCUUUCCGGGAUGUGGUGAUCACACUGUAGUUGGCGUAACAAAAACAAAGUGUUACUGCCUGGGUUAAGACAUAAUGCUAACAAAUCAUACUCAGACCGGAUGUACUCACGAAUGUAAUCACCCUGUUGUUUCGUGUGGUUAUGAUAGUACGGUUAUAAAUUAUGCUUUCCUAUCAAUUUACAAAAUGAACCCAAGGGUGACAGCUAGUGCAAUAAUAUAUGCACAAAAUGAGAGACGUAACUGUCUCGCGUUGAAUACUGUCAGCCCAAAAACAUUUUAUUGGCAGGAAUGUACCUUUUCCUUAGUACCAAUGUGUGCAAAUGUUAAGUAUAUAUUUAAUCAUUAUAUCUAAUAAUCAUUGUUUUUUAUUUCUUACAUACUAAUUGUUGUGCUAAUACUACAAGUUUGCUGCUGUUUUCACUGUUAUAACGAGACGUUCAUUUAAUUUAUUAACGAAGCAACGCCCUGAAAGACGGUGACAGGUAGCCCUAACAUUAAUUUAUAUAUUGCCGGUGUUAUGGCCAAGUAGCUGGUCAAAUAUGCCGACGAAUUUUCGGCGGUGUCUUGCAAACACUUAAUUAAUAUUUGAAAUUCCUGGUGUUUUAAAAUUACAUAUACCGGUACAUUUACGUAUUUUGUUUAUGUACAGCAGAUAUAGACAUAGAAUUGGUAUUGAUCAAGCGGCGGACUUUGCAAAUUCACUAUGGUAACAGUCAUAGGCGAUUUUAAAUGGUUUUCUUUACCUUUGAAAUGUGAACAAACCGCCGAUGUUGCAAACGCAUAUGAUAAAAUUUUGCCAUGUUAUACAAACACGCAUAUAUAGGCGGGAAAGUUAAUAAUGUUGACGUAAUAUUUACCUUUACAACUUCGAAUGAACGAAAGCAUAAAGUCUUGACUUGUCCAGAUUGCGUUUAAACAGGAAUAAAAGGCACAUAUUGUUUCAAAACACAAGAAAUUUUAAAUACACAAAUGUAUUUGACUAAGAAAUUUACAGUUGAGCGGGUUUGCGGUUAGAAAAUAAAAAAAUUAACAGUGUUAACAAAAUUCCAGAUUUGUCAUAAUAAAAACAACAGUAGUUUAGUAGAGUUUUAGGUACAAUUUCUUAAAACUUCUAAACAAGCGUGCUUGGAAUAAAUUAUUGUAACCGUGAAAACCUAAAUCGCUUCUGUUAAUUCGCUCGGUUCUUAAUAAAACUCGCUCUGUAGAGAUUAACAGAAAACAGAAAAGGUAUUUGUCUUUAUCUGUUUACUUUUGUGUCUCAUAAAUUAUUAUUUUUUUGGUGUUGCGAGCUACCUAGAUGGAUGGAUAGAUGUAUGGAUGUGAGACUACUUUAUCCGAAAUAAAACUUAACAAGAGAGCUCAACAGGAAAUACAUUUUCUUUUGUAGUUUUUUAGCAAAUUAUAAAACAUGAGUAAAUUGAUUAUUGACUCUAUUUUUUUAUAUUAUUAUUCGUAAAGUUGAAUGUUUAAGUGUACACUACUUGCUGCAAAAAUCGUAAAGUACUUUUAAUGUUGACAUUGCAUUCAAUUUUAGUCGUUAAUAUUAGUAUUUCAUAUUUAUAUUUUGUUUUCGAAAAUUGAAUUGAAUACUUAUUCGCUAAAUGUACUUACAAAUAUCUCUUCUUUUUCAUUUCUUAAAUAGGAACUCGCGUCCAAGCUUUAUCCCGAGAACAUGCAAGUCAACAAUACUUUACAUGGAUUGGUGCAGCAAAUGUUUGUUUUGCAAAUCGAAUGUUUCAAACUGAUUAUUCAAAUGCAAAGGAUGUACAUGAACACCGAAGAUCUCAACUGUGGACUGGAAUGUUUAAAACAAAAAUAGUUUACAAAUACAAUUCAAACAUUCCUGCUGAACGACGUCAGGAUCGAAAAUUUUACGGUUACUUAACUAGAAAUUUUGAAGACAGAAUGAAAAUGCAAUUUACAGAAACAAAUUCCAACCAAAGAAGACUCUGCGAUGA